rnacentral:lncRNA from 9 species
GGGCUGAAGUGAGAGGCGUCCCUAAUCCUCAACCUUCGAAUGUCUUUCCUUGGCCGCAGGCUGGGAGCGUGCCCCAAGCCUAGGGUUCUGGCUUGGGUUGCGAAUUCCCCACCCCAAGACAAGGGGGUGGGGCGGGGUUUCCCGACCUCUCCUUCUCCGCGCUCUGGGCUCGCCUCUUCCUGGCGGUUAUGCUUUUCACCUGGGUCUCCGACCCUCCUUUGGCGAGGCGGGCGGGUAGUCCGCACGAGGAGCCCCGGGCCUUCCCGCAGCGCGCCAGGAGAGGGGGUUUCCGGGAAAUGCACUGCGUCGGGGCUGCUCCCGGGGUUUUCCUGUGAUACAGGCGGGGGGCGAAUCCCCCGCUGGUCUUUCCCCUGCGGAGCCUCGCGGCGGCCCGGCCAGAAGGGCGUGGGGGAAACUCCGGGAGGCACAGGGCUCGCGGGGGAGACCCAAGCCCUUCGAGGCAAGGCUUUAUUGGGACUUGACAAGUAACAGGUGCCCUUGCUGGUUCUCCAAGGAGGGUGAGCUGGUUCCUUAAAUGGGGUGAAGGUGGAGGUGGAUCAGGGGUCUGUCAGAGGGGCGGGUUAGUUGGUCUACUCACCCCCUUUUUGCUGCUGGGUACAGAGAUCAGGCACAGUUCCCUGUUUUUGCUCCCGGCACUUCAGAAUGGUGUAUGGCCUUUUUGUUAGUUUAUUGUUCAUAAUUGCCCCAACUGCAGCAUGCAUGCAGUCAUUUUUAACUUUCUUUGUAUUUUGUGGCUCAAGGAGGUAUUUGUCCAGGUGCAAGCGCUCUGAUAGAGGGUUCCUGUUCCAGCUUCUCAGUUUGAAAAAUAAAUGGUUGUAGAUCCCGUAGGCAUAUUCCAACCUGGAGUUUACAGUCUCAUGAUCUAAUUUGACAGCAUCACUGUGUUAUCUACAUAGUAAGAACAAGAAUUUCAGAGUAGUGUAAAUGAUACAAAAAAAGGUGAUAGAAUUGGGCCGGUCCCCAGCAUGUAGAAGCGUCACAGGCUGAUUUCCUGUCUGUGUGGACACCACUCUCCUCUCUGCCACGUGCUCACUAACCCACAAGCUCUGAACCCCUGUCCUUUGGGGAGUUUAUGGAUGCUUUAGUACAU